GACGAACGCUGGCGGCGUGCCUAACACAUGCAAGUCAACUUGACUGAAGGAGCAAUCUGACAGUAGAGUGGCGCAAGGGUGCGUAACGCGUAAGUAACUUGCCCAAGGUAAGGAAUAACGUCGAGAAAUCGGCGCUAAUACCUCAUAAUGCAGCGGAUCCGCAUGGAUAUGUUGUUAAAGGUUUACCGCCUUGGGAUAGGCUUGCGUCUGAUUAGCUAGUUGGUGUGGUAACGGCACACCAAGGCUACGAUCAGUAACUGGUCUGAGAGGAUGAUCAGUCACACUGGAACUGAGACACGGUCCAGACUCCUACGGGAGGCAGCAGUGAGGAAUAUUGGGCAAUGCUCGAAAGAGUGACCCAGCAACGCCGCGCGGAGGAUGAAGGUAUUCUAUAUCGUAAACUCCUGUGAGAGCAGACGAAAGACAGAUUAUUAAUCUGGAUGACUGUAUGCUCAGAGGAAG
rnacentral:rRNA from 1 species